CUCACUUUCUUCGAGCUCGCAAUGCAAAGUAACAUUCCAAACCGAGUCUGUCCAUCUUACAGCUUAUUUUUCUAAUGUAUCGAAGAAAAGGAGGAAGAAUUGACUUUGCACCAUUUCAUUCAUUGCCAUUGUAACGAGUAAUUACAUGACUCUGGUCUUGGAGCAGAAUUCGUUCCCAGCAGUGUUUCGAUACGAUCCUUUGUGUAGCGUUCAAUGGUUAUUAUAACGUGAAAUCGAUUUUGGUUUACGCCUUAUAGUAUGGUUGACCAUUAUUUUUACGAGAGAAUUCAAAUUGAAAAAUUAACGAGAUGCGUGGGACUCGUGAUAUGAAAUUUUAUUGCAUCUCCAUAUGGUUAUAAUUCCGGACGCUAUAGAUUAUUUUAGUAACUCAAAUAAAAUAAUAAAUAUUGAUAACAAUAUGGAAAACUAAUAUAACCUUCAGAUAUCCUAUUUAAAUUUUGAUAUAUUUUAAUAUUAUGCAAAGUGGAGUGGGCAAUGAAAUUUUAAAGAUAAUAAAUAUGAAUUAAUAUUUACUAAUAAAAUACAUUUAAAUUAUUAUAAUAAAAUUCCUCUUAAUAGAUGUAAAAUCUGAUAUACAAUGAAGAAUAUUAUCAUUAUAAAACAAAUUAUUAAUAAAACGAAUGUUAAUUAAUCUUUAUUUAUUGAUUAAUAUUUAUGAAAUUUAUAAUGAAAGUUUUUAUUUUGUUUUGUCGAUUGUUGUCAUUAUUCUGGAUAACAUAUUUGAGCCAGGAUAAGUUAUAGGAAUACACAUAUUUUACAUUGCCAGAUUAUGAUAUUGGAUUAAAUAUGAUAAUACUGGAUAAUUCGACCUAAAACGAGUAAAGGUUAUAUUAUACGUGUUCAUUAAAUUAUUCAGUCUCCUCCAUUUGUAUUAAUUACACAUUCCACAAUAUUUAAGCGAACUAAUCUGCUUCCUUUUAAAUACUUUCAAUUGCGCCUACGUGCAAUCUCGAUUCAUCGUUUAAAACUAGUUUGCGAAAAAUUAAAUAUUAUUUAAAUGAGUACUUCGAUCUUUUGAUUAGAAUUUGUAAACCUUUAUAUAGAUAUUUCGUGAUUUAAAAGGAAUAUAGAGAGAAAGCUGAGUUUGAUCCCUUUAAUUAAAUUUUGUUUUAUUAAUGAAGGUUUGUUCACUUUAUGGACACUGUGAGGAUCUUGUGACUUAUUUCAAAUGUUCAGAAUCACUUUGGACACAAUAAACACUUUAUUUUUACAUAAGCGGAACUAAGCUUAUUUAUUUAACACUUUAACCUAAUCCAAUCUUCUAAAUCGAAGCUAAACUUUAUAAUAAACUUCGUUAAAAUUUCCCUACCUUCUCGGCACGUCUCAAUGCUUCGAACUCUUGUCCCUAAUCGAUUAUUUACAUAAAGAAAUACGUUGAUAACAAAUUAAAAUAAUUAAAAUAUAUGUAAAAUGUGAUAUGAUAACAAUGUCACUGCCGAGGUACCGAAUAGAUGUGACGUUCAAUGUUUUUUCAUGUCCUGCAUUUUCGAGGUCACCUGACUCCUCAUAUCAUUUUUGUAUUGCAUGCGACGUUAUCAACAGUAGAGUAGCGGUUUGAAUCGAAACUAAAUUUUUCUAUGAAAUUACAAAUAAGUUAUAAAACUACAUUUUUAAUCGAAUUCGUAUAGAAAACACUCUGAUUUUUUGACAGGUAGGUAUGUCACAAUCUUUUAUGUCCUCAGUCGAUAAUAAUAUGCAACAAGGUGUUAUCAUUGAUCAGUAACAUAGAUUUCUUUGGCGGGUGAUAACGCAGGGAACUUCUUUAGCCUGAAGUUGUUGUCCUGCACUUCUUUGGUCUAAAGUUGGCGAUGUGUGUAGCUCUGAGAUCAGUCACUAUGUCUACAAAUCAAACAAAUUUUCAUUUGCAAAGAAAGUUAAGAAAUUAAGAGAAUUAAUCUGGCAGAUCAGUGCCUAAGACGGUAACGUGACCGGCUACCACCACGAAACCAGAGUUUCAAUCUCGUUGUGUCUGCACUUUUUCUAAAAUUAUUACUUAUGAUAAUAAUUGACUUUAUUCGUCAACGGCUUCAGCCGCGGAAACUAUCAGAUACCCAUAAGAACACCCAAGUCAAGCUGAGUUACUUUUCGAGAUUCUUUCGGGAAUGUUAGACAUUUCAUUUUUCGAAAAUAAAUCUACAGUUGGUUACUUUCUGAAUAAUCACUUUUAUUUUUGAUCCUUAUCAAUAUUAAACAACGUAGUUACGUAAGGGUAUAUAUAUUACAUGGAAAAUUCUGUCUUCCUAGUGCGCAUAUAUCUUCCCAAGAUACCACGAUUUUCCCCGAGAGAAGAAAAAAAAUUUGUAUUUCGAUAAUUACACCGACUCACACAUUCUCCGAUCUAGUUCUCCCUCUCACGCUCAACCUUUCACUCUCUGUCUCUCUUACUCCGUUAUCGUUUGUCAUUUUUCACUCCUCCACACUGGAACAUAUUACUCAAUUUUCACAUUGUUUCUAAAAUUAUUAACUUUAAAGACGAUUCGAAAAGCUUCUGCAUUAUUCAAUUCAAAAACAAUCAAAUUGACCUCUCCAAAUAAUACUCAAACGAUAUGUCUUUGUCCGAUUAUCUAUUUUCCUGCAAUGUUCUUUGUUUUACUCCUUAUCCGUUCCCGUAACAAGAAACGUAUCCUAACCUCAAAACAAUAUAGAAUUGUAAAUAUAUAAUACUGUAAAAUGUUAAAUAUACCGAAUAAAAGUUGAAUAAAUAACGAAUCUGAUUUCUUGUUUCGUCCAGAGUGUGGGUGGACCAUGUAUCAUCCAACCGAAUGUAUGGAAGGACCAACAUCGCUCCACACGAUGUACCAAACGAGAUAAUUCCCCACUUUUGAUGGAGGAUGCACGAUCAGAACUCUGAAAAGCGAGUUUCCAUCGAGAUACCCUCGUUUUCGAACGAAAUUUCAAGAAUUUGUCCAUAUAUGUAGAGAACGAAGAGAAAGGGAUCUGGAUGGGAACUCUGUGGUCACUUGGAGGUAGAAACCGAACGGGAAACGAAGAAAACUAGUUUCUUCCCCGUACUGGCGUCACUUCCCUAUUUGCAGCAAACGAGAAAAAGAAGCGAAUGUUUAUUCAAAUGGACGCACACGAUCCCUCUCGCUCGUUAAACGCGUUGGAAGAUAAUUCUCAUCGUAAGCUGCGCCACUGAACACGUGACUAUAUUUUUCUAACACCAUUCCGCUCUCUUCUCGGUGUUCCGGAGUAAUUUACCGCAAUUUCGAAGUACGCUUUGUUCGAGCAUGGUGCUUGAUGAGCCUGAGUGAACCUAACGUUAGUCGAUUCUACUGGAAAAAUCAUUUUUCUCGUCUGUUUUCCUUACGAGAGAACGAGUAGAAGAAAAAUUUGAACAACACGUCGCCUUAUGUUUCCAAUACUUGUACAAUCGCACAAGAACAUUUCUUUUUAAAAAUUGUCAAUCAACUUGAUAAGAAUUUUUGGUAAUUUUAUGCUCUUCUUAUGUAUGUUGUCAAAAAAUAAAAGUUUCUUCUUUCUAGGGAGUUUCUGAGAUUUUAUUCGCGUUGGUAGGAAGAUGUCAGAGGUUCAUCGAGCAGCCAUACGUCGCAGUAGGCCAUUUCCUCCUAUCUAAGAAUUUGAAAGACUAACUAAAAAAGCAAAGAGCAAAGUGCCGCGUCGAGAUUCCGCUUCUGCCGUCAUUAUUCUUCUCCAUUGGUUUGUAAAAGAGAUUCUCGAAAUUUUACGUUCCACGAGAAAAAAGAAAGAUCAAAAGUUCUCUAUUUUUUGGGGCUCGAGUUAUUUCUAAGCCUUGUUUGACGAUCCAGGGAUUUUUUAAGUGGAUGUGCAGGCACUGUUCUUUCACAAAAUGGAACCAUUUAUCUUCAAACAACUUCAGCUCCUGGCUUUUUCCCUAGCGCAAAGGUCUAAUUCGUUUUGUGGAUCGAUAAUUACGCUAUGGUUUCCAAUCUUUCAUUCUUCAACGAGUAUCAACAAUCAUUAACCAUUUUCUUUUCUAAUAUUCUUCUAUUAGGACGUUAGUCAUAGUGAUAUGUAUUCGGUUAACAACACAAACUGAGAAUGUACCCAGCCGGUAAAUAGUUUGACUUGGAUUUAAAUCAAAUGCUACCAACUGUUCAGAGUAUAUUAAAGCUUUUUUAGACGAACAAAGUUGAUAAUAUGUCCAGUAACUUGAUUGCUAUGCCUUCUAAGGAAUUUUUCUUGGGCAAUUCCCUUUUCAAAUAUUGUUCCAGGGAUUAAAAGUGCUUCGAUGUUAUUGAUACUCGUUCAAAAACUGUUGUCGGGGAUGUUCAAAGAUUGCUAAUCAAUGCUGAAUAAGCGGAUAUUCGGAACAGCGAUCACCGCUCAACUUAGAUCGAAGCAUAUGGGGGAUGAAGAAGACAUUUUCCCCUAAUUAUGUUACUAGUCCACAUUGAAGACUCGUGCCUUCCUUAAUCGGUCUUCCUUUUUAGAUUAUCUUAAUUCAGAUAUGGUUGUACUUUGUUUUCAAGUAAAUUUUUCUAGAAUCUUUCUAACCUAACCUAGUAAACAUAACAAAAUCGAUAUCGUAGUUAAAGUCAUAUUUGGAAAAUACUGUUUGUUACUCUUCUUCAUCCGCCGAUAAGCUCCUAAUAGCGACGUUACAGGGGUCGGAACUGAAAACUAAAAAAAUCCUAAUACAGCAGCCUCGUUCUUGGAUCGAUCGAUCCGCGAUCGAACCUAUAGAUCGAUGGUCGCGCAUAGAAAGUAUAUCUCGUCAUAUAUAUAUAUAUGAUACAUAUAUAUAUA